UAGGGAAUAUUGGGCAAUGGACGGAAGUCUGACCCAGCCAUGCCGCGUGCAGGAAGAAGGCCUUCUGGGUUGUAAACUGCUUUUAUCUAGGAAGAAAACGCCCAUGCGUGGGAAACUGACGGUACUAGAUGAAUAAGCACCGGCUAACUCCGUGCCAGCAGCCGCGGUAAUACGGAGGGUGCAAGCGUUGUCCGGAUUUAUUGGGUUUAAAGGGUGCGUAGGCGGCCCGUUAAGUCAGUGGUGAAAGCCUCCAGCUCAACUGGAGAACUGCCAUUGAUACUGACGGGCUUGAGUACAGACGAGGUUGGCGGAAUUGAUUGUGUAGCGGUGAAAUGCAUAGAUACAAUCAAGAACUCCGAUUGCGUAGGCAGCUAACUAGGCUGUAACUGACGCUGAGGCACGAAAGCGUGGGGAGCGAACAGGAUUAGAUACCCUGGUAGUCCACGCUGUAAACGAUGAUUACUCGAUGUCGGCGAUAAACUGUCGGCGUCUUAGCGAAAGCGUUAAGUAAUCCACCUGGGGAGUACGCCCGCAAGGGUGA
rnacentral:rRNA from 1 species